rnacentral:rRNA from 1 species
GACAGAGGGUGCAAACGUUGUUCGGAAUUACUGGGCGUAAAGCGCGUGUAGGCGGCUUGGCAAGUCGGGUGUGAAAGCCCUGGGCUCAACCUAGGAAGUGCACUCGAAACUGCUUCGCUUGAAUGUCGGAGAGGAAAGCGGAAUUCUCGGUGUAGAGGUGAAAUUCGUAGAUAUCGAGAGGAACACCGGUGGCGAAGGCGGCUUUCUGGACGAUUAUUGACGCUGAGACGCGAAAGCGUGGGGAGCAAACAGG